GAUGAACGCUGGCGGCGUGCCUAAUACAUGCAAGUCGAGCGAACGGACGAGAAGCUUGCUUCUCUGAUGUUAGCGGCGGACGGGUGAGUAACACGUGGAUAACCUACCUAUAAGACUGGGAUAACUUCGGGAAACCGGAGCUAAUACCGGAUAAUAUUUUGAACCGCAUGGUUCAAAAGUGAAAGACGGUCUUGCUGUCACUUAUAGAUGGAUCCGCGCUGCAUUAGCUAGUUGGUAAGGUAACGGCUUACCAAGGCAACGAUGCAUAGCCGACCUGAGAGGGUGAUCGGCCACACUGGAACUGAGACACGGUCCAGACUCCUACGGGAGGCAGCAGUAGGGAAUCUUCCGCAAUGGGCGAAAGCCUGACGGAGCAACGCCGCGUGAGUGAUGAAGGUCUUCGGAUCGUAAAACUCUGUUAUUAGGGAAGAACAUAUGUGUAAGUAACUGUGCACAUCUUGACGGUACCUAAUCAGAAAGCCACGGCUAACUACGUGCCAGCAGCCGCGGUAAUACGUAGGUGGCAAGCGUUAUCCGGAAUUAUUGGGCGUAAAGCGCGCGUAGGCGGUUUUUUAAGUCUGAUGUGAAAGCCCACGGCUCAACCGUGGAGGGUCAUUGGAAACUGGAAAACUUGAGUGCAGAAGAGGAAAGUGGAAUUCCAUGUGUAGCGGUGAAAUGCGCAGAGAUAUGGAGGAACACCAGUGGCGAAGGCGACUUUCUGGUCUGUAACUGACGCUGAUGUGCGAAAGCGUGGGGAUCAAACAGGAUUAGAUACCCUGGUAGUCCACGCCGUAAACGAUGAGUGCUAAGUGUUAGGGGGUUUCCGCCCCUUAGUGCUGCAGCUAACGCAUUAAGCACUCCGCCUGGGGAGUACGACCGCAAGGUUGAAACUCAAAGGAAUUGACGGGGACCCGCACAAGCGGUGGAGCAUGUGGUUUAAUUCGAAGCAACGCGAAGAACCUUACCAAAUCUUGACAUCCUUUGACAACUCUAGAGAUAGAGCCUUCCCCUUCGGGGGACAAAGUGACAGGUGGUGCAUGGUUGUCGUCAGCUCGUGUCGUGAGAUGUUGGGUUAAGUCCCGCAACGAGCGCAACCCUUAAGCUUAGUUGCCAUCAUUAAGUUGGGCACUCUAAGUUGACUGCCGGUGACAAACCGGAGGAAGGUGGGGAUGACGUCAAAUCAUCAUGCCCCUUACGAUUUGGGCUACACACGUGCUACAAUGGACAAUACAAAGGGCAGCGAAACCGCGAGGUCAAGCAAAUCCCAUAAAGUUGUUCUCAGUUCGGAUUGUAGUCUGCAACUCGACUACAUGAAGCUGGAAUCGCUAGUAAUCGUAGAUCAGCAUGCUGCGGUGAAUACGUUCCCGGGUCU
rnacentral:rRNA from 1 species